rnacentral:rRNA from 1 species
UAGGGAAUCUUCCGCAAUGGACGAAAGUCUGACGGAGCAACGCCGCGUGAGUGAAGAAGGAUUUCGGUUCGUAAAACUCUGUUGUUAGGGAAGAAAAAAUGUAUAGUAACUAUAUACAAAAGAGACGGUACCUAACCAGAAAGCCACGGCUAACUACGUGCCAGCAGCCGCGGUUAUACGUAGGUGGCAAUCGUUGUUCGGAAUUAUUGGGCGUAAAGCGCGCGCAGGUGGUUUAGAAAGUCGGAUGUGAAAGCCCACGGCUCAACCGUGGAGGGUCAUUGGAAACUAAUAAACUUGAGUGCAGGAGAGAAAAGUGGAAUUCCUAGUGUAGCGGUGAAAUGCGUAGAGAUUAGGAGGAACACCGGUGGCGAAAGCGGCUUUUUGGCCUGCAACUGACACUGAGGCGCGAAAGCGUGGGGAGCAAACAGG